AACGAACGCUGGCGGCGUGCCUAACACAUGCAAGUCGAGCGCGAAAAGGGCAACCUGAGUAGAGCGGCGCACGGGUGCGUAACAUGUGGGUAAUCUGCCUUAGAGUCGAGGAUAACCUUCCGAAAGGUUGGCUAAUACUCGGUAAGCUUACGGUGUCUUCGGACGCUGUGGGAAAAGUAGGCCUCUGUUUACAAGCUAACGCUCUGAGAUGAGCCCGCGGCGCAUCAGCUAGUUGGCGGUGUAACGGACCACCAAGGCAACGACGGGUAGCUGGUCUGAGAGGACGAUCAGCCACACUGGAACUGAGACACGGUCCAGACUCCUACGGGAGGCAGCAGUGGGGAAUUUCCACAAUGGGCGAAAGCCUGAUGGAGCAACGCCGCGUGUGUGAUGAAGGUUUUCGGAUCGUAAAGCUCUUUCGACUGGGACGAAAAACCUUUGGCUAACAUCCAGGGGCCUGACGGUACCAGGAGAAGAAGCACCGGCUAACUCUGUGCCAGCCGCCGCGGUAAAAC
rnacentral:rRNA from 1 species